rnacentral:lncRNA from 1 species
AGGGAGGCUCUUUCUCCGACCCGCUCGGGGUGAGGCGGCCGUGCGCCCAGGGCGCGGCGCGGCGCGGCGCGACGCUGCCGGAGUGCUAGGCUCCGGCUGCAGCCACCGCUGCCUUUGUCUUAGAGGCGCCGAGGGGCUCCAGCCUCGACCUCUCCCGGGCCUGUAAGAACCUCGCGCCCCACUAGCUCUUUCUCCAGCGAAGCCCUGCCCUCACCACCCCAGACAUCCUUCCCCGCGCUCCUCUUUCCCGUCCCCAACCCGGCUCGGCGAAACCUCCCAGUGCCAGAGAAAAAGAAAUCCGCUUCGGAAGCUGAGAUUUCAGACAAAAGCUGCCUGUACCUACAACUCGGAGGCUCCAACCAACCACUGUUUUUUGUUUUGUUUUGUUUUUAACUUUAACACCUAUUGCCUGGGCUUUAAUUCCCCCUCACCCCUUCUCUUUAUUCUCCCGCUCUAAGCUUCUCCCUUGUGAUUAUAUUUAGUGGCGUUAUUUUCGUAUUUAUAUUUCUGUCCGCUGGGCUCUGAUCUGCCGAGAUGGCUCAGCCGCAGCAGCUCUACCAGUGGCUGGAAACCUCACAUCCACAAGCAGGGCUCGCAGCUCGCUCGGCUCCGAGAGGAUUUUUCCCCCUCCCUCCAGCUGAAACCUCGCAGAAAACUCCCCCUGCGGUCGACUGGAAAAUGAGCUCACCCAAAUCUCGGUAGGCAGCCGUGGAGGAGUGCUCGGCCAAUCAGGAGGCGCCCCCGCCCAGGCCGCCGCGCAUUGGCUGCGGGGAAAAUCAAUUAUCAAAUAAUCGAUCAGCAGGGAGCUUCGAUCUGCGGGGAAUGCGAACUGCCAGUCCCUAUUCCCGCCCUGAAGGUGGCCAAAAGGCUGACUCCCUCCAAGCAGCCCGCCCGCGCCUCCAUCGCCCCCACCCACGUCCCACUCGCCAGCUGCGGACUGAACCCUCACCCUCAAGGGGGUGUAGCCUCAGGGGUUCUUCGGCAAAGAGGUAACGGGGCUUGGAUUUACCACAACUCUGCGGCCACGUUUUCAAAUUUGGAAAAGCACAGAUGAGAAAAGAAGGUUCAGGCGAUUUAUGCGAGAAAGGGCCAAUUUGAACACUGGUAACUAGUGGGAGAAAUAAACUUAUAAGCCACAAACACAUCGGUUCGCAACCGAGCCCACAGCCCCGCGAGGCGCCCCUUCUUCCCAGCUCCCGGAGGAUAACUUCAUUGACUGGCAGGUCGGCGGCCACUUCUGGGAGGGCCACUGUUUACCGAAUGAGAACCUCUCAUGGCACAGUCCUUACAGCAGGGCUGCCCUGUCGCCCUUGCGCGUCCGGGUGCCGGGUCCCGGCGGUGUUCUGCAGCGCGAUCCGGUCCCCGUGCCCUGAGCCACCCAGAGCCCUGGGCCUGCCUGCACCCUGGGGCGCGCUGACUCCCUGGGUCGGGUGGGGGUCCCGGCAGGAUGCACUUCCAGCUGCGGGGUCCGCGGAGUUUGCUCGCACCUGGUUUGGCGCAGGGACGUAGGUUUGGGGGACUGUGUCCCCUGGGAAGAGCAAAAGGUGAAAAGGUCCCCUCUCCCACCAGUGUGCCCCAUCCCCGCCAGUUUUGACUGCGAUCCUAUUUUUCUCUUUGGGGGUCGCCUCAGCCUGUGCCGGAGGGAGUUGGGAGUUGGUCAGGCUUGGGCAGCGGUGGGUGGCAGCCCGGGAGCCGGAGCAGGAGCGCGAGGACCCGCGGACUGGGGCGCAGCGACGAUGGCGCACCGGCUUCUGUCUUCUGCUGCUUUGGGGCUGAGCAUCCGAGGGCGCCUUUCUCCCCAGCUGGACUCGGGGACGCCGGAUCACCCCGCCACCUGCCUCUUGGCCUAAUUCUGGAAGCUUCUCGCCUCCGUUCCUGGACGGCUCUUCCUCAGGGGCAGCAAUGAGCCCCGGGGUGCGCUCAUCUCCUCCGAGAUCAAUUGCUCUACGAUUCCUUUUAGGACUUGCAGGGGGGAGAGGUUGGGGACCCCGGCCCCAGAGUGGCUCCUGCGGCACGGCGGCCCACUCGGAGGGGUCGCAACAAGCGCGCAUUUGUGGCCAAGGUUGUGAUUUCAGGUGCGCUAAUGGGAUCAGACGUCCUGGGAGAAGCGUGAGGGGAUUGGUGCCGUUCCUUCUCCCGGCUUCCAGCGGCCGCCGGGUGGAAGUGGGGACACAGGAGGGCCGCGCUACGGGCGCCCAGCGCGGGCGCUCACACCUCUUGAGGAGGCGUGGAACCCAGCGCCCCAGGUGGGGGUAGGGCGCGGGGGUAUAGGUAGUGAGGGGUGACGCUGGGAGAGGACCGGGAGACGGAGGAAAGGAGACAGCCGGGGACACUACUGAGAGAGGGAGUAAGAGAGUGCGCUGCAGAACCGGGGACAGAGCGGCAGAACCGACCGAGAGCUGGAAUUGGAUUGCGUCCUGUCCCAGCACCAGGACACAGAUAAACAGCCUCCCAGCACUGGUACUCGCCAGAGAAGGGGAAACCCGCGUCCCGCGCUGCUGCUUUCUGCUUCGGAGAACCUUAUCUAGACUUUUGCAUAAUUGCGUGUUGGCUUUCCUAAAUAAUUCGGAAGAGCGAUUUCUGCUUCCACUUGUUCACAUAGGCAAACAAUCCCUGUGGGGAAAAUGUGUGUGUGUGUGUGUGUGUGUGCGCGCGCGCGCGCGCGCGUUCCGGUGACAAUUGAGGCCAGAGGCAAACACAUCCUCUUUCAAAAUGUCCCUUAGGUGAUCCCGUAAAUGACUGUCCUGCUCUAGGCAGUGGGAGUCAUCAUCCACUGGGUAGGGGGCUGUGAUUACUCUGCCUAGGGACCACUUUUCACAGCUCCUUCCCCACCGUAGAUAAGGGUGUUAAAUCAAGGCAUUUAGUUCUACUUUUCCAUUGCACAGAUAAGCAAGCUGAGACCCAGAUAGGUUAAGUGAAGUAUCCAAUUUCUUCUCUCCUUUUCUUUUCUGUAUGCCUCAAGAUGGUUUUAUACACACACACACACACACACAUACAUACACACACACACACACCCUGAACUACGAAAAACAUCACAACUACGGAAGAAACAUUUUUUACUCUUCUUAUUUCCUAAGAAGACCAAAAGUCAGAGCUUGUCUUCUGUCAGAAGCAGAUGGGUGUGUGAUGGCAGUGUGUGAGUGUGCAAGUGUGGGGGGGCUGGGCGUUGGCGCCAUCCUUCCUCCUUCCCUGCUCCAUCCCUGACUCCAUCACCGAGCCCCUUCAGGGAAACACAAGGCAGGAGGUUGUACCGCUAUGCAGAAGACCCCUCCAGGUAGGGAGCUUGAAGAAAUGAAACAGCAGGGAGAACCUGUAUUUGGUGGUGAAAGUGCUGGAAUCUUCUAGGCCUUGCUCAUCUCCAACCAGCUACUUCUCCAAAAUAAAGCAAAACAAAACAAAACAAAACAAGGCAAACAACAACCACCACAGGCCUUUUGCAUCAACUUCCUGUGACUAAGUGACCCUAAGCAGAGAACUGGCUCAGGUCACUUAGGGCAGGGGUAGGACAUUGAAGGCCUUAUUUACUCCAGGAUUAAAAACAGCAUCCCCUCUAACCCUGUCUCUCUUGGGCAGCCUGUCUUUUAAGGAUGUGAAAAGCAGCUUCUUGGAGUCUAAACAGGCACAAUACCCCACUGGGAUGUUUAGGUAUCAGGUUCACAAAAACAGCAUUUUACUCCUGCUUCCCCGAACCCCUUUGCAACCCAGGCUACCAUACUCUUUGCAAGAAUAUCCGGUAUCUUUUCCGGGCAAAAUGAAUUGAGUUGGCACUUCCUGAAAUAUUUUUAUUUUUAGCUUCAAAUAAUUUUGCUCCUAAAACAAAUUAGUUACUUAUCCUCUUCUCACCAUGCCCUAAUUAUUUUUAGCUUUAUUCUAAUUUUUUUUGUUACCUUGAAUUUUGUCUUGAUUUGAGAGUUUGGUAUAGAAUACUUGUUUGCAGACUGGUAAUCUGCAGUUUAUUUUGUUUUUAAAAAACUCUGUGAAGUUUACUGUUGUUUUAAAACUCAUGGAAUAUUAACAAAAAAUAACCUAAUAAUAUUCUUCGAGGCUUAAACUUUGGUUAUAGUCUAUGUCCUAGCCUAGCUUUUAUGAUAAGCCUGUUGCAUUUUAAAGGUGCUUAUUGAUUCACAUGUCUUUCAGUAAAAAAUCUUUUGAGGAACCCAGACUUUUGAAAGCUAUUUAAUUUGCAUGUAUUUGGUCAUUACAGGCUAAAACUGAAGAAUGAGUUUGGAAAUUGGUUCUAUUAGAAAACACUGUUUGCACAUCCAAAUGUUCCCAGUCAAGAUUUCCCAAUAGUGGCAGUGAGAAAGAGAGGCAGAGAGAAUUAGGAUACUUGGGUUCAAAUUUUAGCUUAGUCACUGAUGGGCUGAUUGAGUGAGAAGAACUUAAUCACCUGCAAAAUGAAUUGCUUACAGUAUUUUGAUCUCUAAAUACACUUUUGAUUCUGAUAUUUAAUGAUUUUGUAUUACAAAAUUGGGCAGAAAACGCAUAGCUUCAUAACAAGCAAAAAAUUUUACUGUUAACACAUCAUACUUAUUUUAGAGUAAAUUUGAAGGAGGUUGAUGUUUUGGAAUUUGGUUGGAGAGUUAUCCAAAAGCAAUGUUUCCCUGACUCAACUACAACCAAUUACACACAGUGGCCAGUAGGAAAAGGAUUAAGUUGUCCAGACAAAAUAUAAUGGUAACAAAAAAUAAUCUUGUGCUUUUGACAUCUUUCUGUUUACUUGUUUUUGUCUUGUUCUAAUGCCCCCUGAAUUACUAUUUUCUAAAAAACAGUCUCAUCUAAAAUAAAACAUAGUAAUGUGUUUUCAAAUGAGACAUUUUAUUGUAGUUACGAUUUCUUUUGUAUAUUUUCCUAAUGCAGACUACAAUAAAUACACUAAAAUAUUUCAAAUGGUUUGCUUGUGUAUAUGCUCUUAAGUCGUCUUUAUCCCACUUUGGGAAGCAUAUGCUGUGUUCUGAACAGUUUUAACUUUAUAUAUCAGCAUGACUAAGUCCUUUCAACAACUAUCACGCAAAGACCACGGAGAGCAGAACUAUUCAGGAUAUCAAGAAAUGAACACUAAUGAAUAGGAAACAAUGAACCCUAAUUUUAGGAAGAAAUUAGUUUUGCAAUUCAGCAUUGUCAUUUAAAGUGGAAUUGUGUCUCGUAAAACUUCUGUAACUGCCAUACUUGUUGCUAUCAGUAAAUUCUAUGAAGUCUCUAUUUUACACGACAGCAUUUUGAAAUGUAAUUGCUACAGUUUUAGAUAUUUCUAAGGCCUGAAUUUAUUAUAACAGGCAAUUUUUGAAAAAUAUACCAGAUUCAAUUAAAAAAUGGCAAUAAUUUCUCAUAAAAACCUUCAAAACAUUGAAAUCUGUGUUUUAUAUUCCAGGGAAUAAAAACAUAAAAACUUUACUUUGGACUUAAAAAAAAAAUUCAUUCACUCUCAAUUCCCCGCUUCUUUGAGAUCCUCCCGACAGGGAAAUUGUCAGAAGAAUUCCUUAAUACCUUCAGGCACUGUAAACUCCACAUAUGGAUCUUUAAGUCUGAAAAUGACAACUUAGAUUUUCGUUGAAAGAUAUACCUGAAAGAACUAAAGUAAACAGAAAGAUGUCAAAAGCACAGGAUUUUUUUUGGUACCAUUAAAUUUUGUCUGGAUAUUUGUUGGUGUUUUAGAAGUUAAAACACUUAGUCCCGUCUCCACUGGCCAGACAACAAAAGUUGUCUAACUUUUGGAGGCACUUUCCCUACUGCCUAAGCAUGCUAAGGCAUUGCUUAGCAUGACCAGGAUGCUUAAGAACUUGAAAUUCACAAAGUUGAAAAUAGAGAGUUAUGGCUCUUUUAAUAACUGUCACUUUAUCCUGAUUCUCAGUCAAUAUCCAAGCACAAUGUAGAGUGUGGAUGAACUUCAAAUGCUCUGGAACCAGCUACUGCUUUGAAGGUCAAACUCAGUCAUAUUUAAAAUUUCAGCAAUAUCACACUACUGGCAAUUGUUGGCUCAAUGAGACCAACUGCUCUCCUGACCUGGUAAGAACCAAGUGCCCACAGCCGCUUUCCUGACUUAUGAUUCUGUAUCUGGUAGCUACCUUUUUUCUCCUUGAGUAUUUAACGCUCUUUAAUUUUGCACUUUUGCAUUUCUUUGACAGUUGGCUAGCAUCCUUUAAAAAUUCUAGCCUAAUUUAGACCAAAAAGUACUAUAUAUUUUUGGAUAUUCUUAACCCGUUAGGUGCUUAGGGCUUAUUUGUUCAGGAGUUCAACCAAUAAGCCUUCCUCAGUGCUUUUAGCUUUUUACUCCAGGAAGGAAUUAGUUUGAAUUGCUCCAAAAUUGUCUUCUUUUUAUUUUCUCUUUCCUUUCCUAUGAGUCUGUAAUUUAGUUCUGCUGACACAGUUGAUUAACCCCAUACUGGGGAGUUGAUUAAAAACACUUUCUAAAAAUGUAUACUCCUAUUGCUGGUAUUAGUCAGCAUUUUUUUUGGCCUAUCACUUUUUAAGUUUCAGUUUAUCAAAAUCUUUCCACUCCAAUAAUUCUAAAUGGGCACACUUUAAAAGCUACAUACCUAGUUCUUUUUAAUAUAGGCUAUUCUUACGGCACUCUCUCUAAUGUACCUCCUAUAUUAGAAUCAUUCCAGGGAGCAGCAAGUGGUCUUAAAGACAUCUAUAAAGCCAUAUAUGAGCCAGGAGCUGAUGUGAACAAUAAUCACAAAUCUAUGAGCCAAGUUUGUUCUUCUCUUUGUGCUUAGGGGACCAUUCAGUUGUGCGACAGAUUCCCUCUUGAAGAACACUUCCUCAAAAAAAUUCUUAACCAUUGUCAUAGACUGAAGGAAGCUGCUCGGGGUCAUUACGUACUUUGUACUCUCCAGUUAACCUAGACACCAAAGCCAUUCCCACCAUCCUACUUCUGUCUUCUUGGAAACUUUCAAGAAGACGUGAGCUUUAAAGACUGUUUCAGAGUUUACAUGCCUCUUUCAUUGUCACUGACAUUUUUCGGAUCGUGAUUAAAAAGGCCAGUCUGUUGCAAAUUUCAUAAAUUAGUCUUUUCUCUCUGUUCUGCUGUCAGGUUGCCCUUCUCACUAAUGUCACCACAUGUCACUGCUGCCCUAGCCAAUCUCAAUUUGACUGAAAGGGUUUGACUAACUUUUGGGUCCUGUUUCCUAUAAUUGGUAACUUUGCCAACUUUUUGGUUUUACACUGUUUCACUCAGAAUAUUAUUAUUCAGGCAAAGUUAAUUUUCUGUUCUAAACAAGUCUUUGAUACUCAGGGAUAUGAUUGAGAAUUCAAUUUUUGUCUUUAACAAAACAUCACAGUUUGCAAAACAUCCCCCUUCCCCUCUUCAGGUCUACUAUCUUAGUUUACUCCUCCAAACCCUGUAAGAACAUACCAUCAGCCCUAUUUCACAGAUGAGGGCCACACAAUUGUUUAGAAUCAAAGACUGUGUACCG